rnacentral:rRNA from 1 species
GAUGAACGCUGGCGGCGUGCCUAAUACAUGCAAGUCGAGCGAACGGACGCGAAGCUUGCUUCUCUGAUGUUAACGGCGGACGUGUGAGUAAAACGUGGAUCACCUACCUUUAAGACUGGGAUAACUUCGUGAAACUGGAGCUAAUUCCGGAUACUAUUUUGAACCGCAUGGUUCAAAAGUUUCAGACGGUCUGGCUGUCCCUUAUAGAUGUCUCCUCGCUGCAUUAGCUAGUUGGUAAGGUAACGGCUUACCAAGGCAACGAUGCAUAGCCGACCUGAGAGGGUGAUCGGCGACACUGGAAGUGAGAGACGGUACAGAGUCCGACGGGAGGCAGCAGUAGGGAAUCUUCCGAAAUGGGCGAAAGCCUGAAGAAGCAACGGAGGGUGAGUGAUGAAGGGCUUCGGAUCGGAAAACGCUGUUAUGAGGGAAGACCAUAUGUGGAAGUAACUGUACACAUCGUGACGGUACCUAAUCAGAAAGCAACGGCUAACUACGUG